AUAGUAUUUGAAUACACGAAGUUGAAGGAGCUAAUUAUUAUAUAUUUAUAGAUAUAAAGUGUUGCAAAACUUAAAUAAAUAAUAAUUAGGGGUGAUAGGCUUAUCAAUUUCAACGAUAACUUGAUAAUCAUUAAAUGUAAAAGUACAGAAACACUUUUAAAAUGACAAGGUUUUAAAAGAAAAAUAAUAUGCUUGAAGUAAGAUAUAUUCUGUUUAAUCAUUAAUAUAUUAGUAAAUAUAUAAUAAAUUAAGUAUAUCUAUUUAGAUCUUUGAUUAAUAAAUAAACUAUAUAUAUAUAAAUAAUGUUAAUAUUAGUAAUUAUUAAGUACAUAACAUGAACUCGGCAAUAAGUCUUUUAACUGUUUAUCAAAAACAUAGCCAUAUGAAUAUAUAUGUGGUAAUUUCUGCUCAAUGAAGUUUAAAUAGCCGCAGUACCCUGACUGUGCUAAGGUAGCGCAAUCAAUUGGCUUUUAAUUGGAGUCCUGUAUGAAAGAAAACAUAAGGGGCUACUUUAUUUUGUGUAGUUAAUGAAUUUACUUAAAAAGUGCAAAUUCUUUUAUAUAAAUAAUAGACGAGAAGACCCUAGAAAUUUAUGAUGAAACUUUUGUUGGGGCAACAAAGUAGCAUUAAUAAUCUACUAUUAAUACACGAAAAUUAUAUUUUGUAAGAUUAAAUUACUCUAGGGAUAACAGCAUAAUUUUAGAAAGUUUGUGACCUCGAUGUUGGAUUAGGGUAUUAACAUUAAAA
rnacentral:rRNA from 1 species